GUAGGGAAUAUUGGACAAUGGGCGCAAGCCUGAUCCAGCCAUGCCGCGUGAGUGAAGAAGGCCUUCGGGUUGUAAAGCUCUUUUGUCCGGAAAGAAAAGCCUUGGGUUAAUACCCUGAGGUUCUGACGGUACCGGAAGAAUAAGCACCGGCUAACUUCGUGCCAGCAGCCGCGGUAAUACGAAGGGUGCAAGCGUUACUCGGAAUUACUGGGCGUAAAGCGUGCGUAGGUGGUUUGUUAAGUCUGAUGUGAAAGCCCUGGGCUCAACCUGGGAAUUGCAUUGGAUACUGGCAGGCUAGAGUGCGGUAGAGGGUAGUGGAAUUCCCGGUGUAGCAGUGAAAUGCGUAGAGAUCGGGAGGAACAUCUGUGGCGAAGGCGACUACCUGGACCAGCACUGACACUGAGGCACGAAAGCGUGGGGAGCAAACAGGAUUAGAAACCCUAGUAGUCC
rnacentral:rRNA from 1 species